GGUAUAGCUCAGCUGGUUAGAGCGCCAGGUUGUGGCCCUGGAGGUCGUCGGUUCGAAUCCGGUUAC
rnacentral:tRNA from 1 species